UCAAACUUGGUCAUUUAGAGGAAGUAAAAGUCGUAACAAGGUUUCCGUAGGUGAACCUGCGGAAGGAUCAUUAUCGAAUGACAACUGCCCUCGCUAGGCUGUGCGUUUCGCACGCCUCGAGUGCGUCGUUCUCCUCACACCUGUGCACAUUCGGGCCUCUCGGCCCGCCUUUUUCACAAACCUUUAAUUGUCUAUGAAUGUAUCGUAAUGUUGUCUAACAACGUAACAACUUUCAACAACGGAUCUCUUGGCUCCCGCAUCGAUGAAGAACGCAGC
rnacentral:misc_RNA from 1 species